rnacentral:rRNA from 1 species
CAGCAGCCACGGGAAUACCGAGGAUGCAAGCGUUAUCCGGAAUGAUUGGGCGUAAAGCGUCUGUAGGUGGCUUUUCAAGUCCGCCGUCAAAUCCCAGGGCUCAACCCUGGACAGGCGGUGGAAACUACCAAGCUGGAGUACGGUAGGGGCAGAGGGAAUUUCCGGUGGAGUGGUGAAAUGCGUUGAGAUUGGAAAGAACACCAACGGUGAAAGCACUCUGCUGGGCCGACACUGACACUGAGAGACGAAAGCUAGGGGAGCAAAUGGGAUUAGAUACCCCAGUAGUCCCUGUCUCUUAUAA